rnacentral:rRNA from 1 species
GAUGAACGCUGGCGGCGUGCCUAAUACAUGCAAGUCGAGCGAACAGAUGAGGAGCUUGCUCCUCUAACGUUAGCGGCGGACGGGUGAGUAACACGUGGAUAACCUACCUAUAAGACUGGGAUAACUUCGGGAAACCGGAGCUAAUACCGGAUAAUAUAUUGAACCGCAUGGUUCAAUAGUGAAAGACGGUUUUGCUGUCACUUAUAGAUGGAUCCGCGCCGCAUUAGCUAGUUGGUAAGGUAACGGCUUACCAAGGCAACGAUGCGUAGCCGACCUGAGAGGGUGAUCGGCCACACUGGAACUGAGACACGGUCCAAACUCCUACGGGAGGCAGCAGUAGGGAAUCUUCCGCAAUGGGCGAAAGCCUGACGGAGCAACGCCGCGUGAGUGAUGAAGGUCUUCGGAUCGUAAAACUCUGUUAUUAGGGAAGAACAAAUGUGUAAGUAACUAUGCACGUCUUGACGGUACCUAAUCAGAAAGCCACGGCUAACUACGUG